rnacentral:rRNA from 1 species
GAUGAACGCUGGCGGCGUGCCUAAUACAUGCAAGUCGAGCGAAUGAAUUAAGAGCUUGCUCUUAUGAAGUUAGCGGCGGACGGGUGAGUAACACGUGGGUAACCUGCCCAUAAGACUGGGAUAACUCCGGGAAACCGGGGCUAAUACCGGAUAACAUUUUGAACCGCAUGGUUCGAAAUUGAAAGGCGGCUUCGGCUGUCACUUAUGGAUGGACCCGCGUCGCAUUAGCUAGUUGGUGAGGUAACGGCUCACCAAGGCAACGAUGCGUAGCCGACCUGAGAGGGUGAUCGGCCACCCGGGGACUGAGACACGGCCCAGACUCCUACGGGAGGCAGCAGUAGGGAAUCUUCCGCAAUGGACGAAAGUCUGACGGAGCAACGCCGCGUGAGUGAUGAAGGCUUUCGGGUCGUAAAACUCUGUAGUUAGGGAAGAACAAGUGCUAGUUGAAUAAGCUGGCACCUUGACGGUACCUAACCAGAAAGCCACGGCUAACUACGUGCCAGCAGCCGCGGUAA